rfam:Glarea lozoyensis ATCC 20868 chromosome Tnknown GLAREA6, whole genome shotgun sequence.
UCAGCUCUCUUUGCCACAUGGCUUAGAUCAAGUGUAGUAUCUGUUCUUUUCAGUUUAAUCUCUGAAAGUUGACUACGGUCAACACAAAGAUUAUACUUAUUUUUGUUCGUCGGAGGGGAACCGCCAGGCUUGCCUGUGUUCUCUUCCACUGUGUUCUCGGUCUUACACUGCUUCCGAGUAACGCGACCUUUU